GCCCAACAGGACUCACGCAGACGUACACAACCUUCACACGUCUUCUUCUCUCAUUCCCCUCAAUAAAAAAACGCCUUCUUCUCUCGCACUCACACCUUGGCCUUUCUCGAUCCCCUUUUCAUUUCCUUCUAUCCUCUCGGUCCUGCUUCCACCGGAUGAGCUCUGGCUGUUAGCGCUGCUCGGCUCACUGGUGCGGCCACGGGUUGGCCGUCUACGGCGCAUGGUUUGGCUCCUAUACGCCUCAUCGAUCUCUCAGACCGGUCAACGGAGUCGGAGGGAUAGCAGGGCCCAAGGAAAAGCUGCUCAAGGGAGGAGGCGAGCUCGUCGAUCUCGAUGGUGCUGUUGCCAUCACCGUCCAUGCAGGCGAUGUGGGUGUGGAUCUUGUCUCCCACAGCCAGCUUGGAUCCACCUUUAUUGUGAGGAUGCAUCGUGGCUCCCCGAGCGAGGCAGCUCAGCAGCUGGAGCUAGUGGCAUAUGACAGGAACUCACUAUUGAAUUUGAGUUGGUACUGACUUGAUGUGGUCUGAUUGCUCGACGGAGGUGGCUUGUGCAUGCGGGAGGAAGACAAUUUUGAAGUUCCACUGGUUGGAGGAAGUUGACCUCGAAGUGUUGCUCGCCGUAGGAAGAUGAUGUAGGAGUUGUACCCUAAUAUCUGAGGCCGUGGAAGCAUUACAUGGGGGAGAUAUUAUAGGGAUGGCUGAGUUUACCACGUUUGCACGAUGGAAAGAGAGGUUUUUUGGAUGCCAUCUAGAGAGAUAUUCUUGAUCCAUUGAUCGAUGGAGCUGAUGACAAUCGAGGAGAGUCAACAAAGGAGAUUUAGGAUGACAAUCAAGGAGAGUCAAUAGAGGAGAUUGGGAUGACAAUCGAGGAGAGUCAAUAGAGGAGAUUGGGGUGCUAGCAACAGUGGGAGGAAGGCGAUGUUCAAGUGUCGCUCAUUGGAGGAAGACGAUGUUGAAAGGGGGCUCUGAAGUCGGAGAGGAAAGCUAAUUAAAAGAUAAGAUAAAGGUACUCCAAGACCCUGGGGAAUUUGAAAAGGAAUUCAAGCAUCUACCGGCAUGCCUUUUUUCUGGUUAAGACAGUACAAUAGUGCAUGCCGUCAUGGGUGUUGUCGAUUCAAGUGCAUUCCUGCACUGAUAUCCAUAUAUCAGUCUUCACGGUGCGCUAAUCAGGCGUGAAGCCAUCUAAAUAAAGCUAAGCCCAUAAUUUACUCCUAGUUUACACCUACCCACGAACGAUUCUUCUACAAUGUCUUUGAAUUCUUACCAUCCAAUGGGGGACAUUACCUUCUACUCCCUCCGUUCCUAAAUAUAAGUCUUUUUAGACAUUUCAAAUG
rnacentral:rRNA from 1 species